rnacentral:rRNA from 1 species
UACAGAGGUCCCAAGCGUUGUUCGGAUUCACUGGGCGUAAAGGGUGCGUAGGUGGCAGGGCAAGUCUGGCGUGAAAUCUCCGAGCUUAACUCGGAAAUGGCGUUGGAAACUGCUUUGCUUGAGGGUUGGAGGGGGGACUGGAAUACUUGGUGUAGCAGUGAAAUGCGUAGAUAUCAAGUGGAACACCAGUGGCGAAGGCGAGUCCCUGGACAACUCCUGACACUGAGGCACGAAAGCUAGGGGAGCAAACGGG